AGGUUGGAAGAGUGGGGUUUUCCUGCAGUCUCUGGGUUCUCUCUGGGUGUUUAAGGAUGCGAAUGGCUCUGGCAACCAGCCCCACAGCUGCCUCAUCAUUUGCAUGCUGAUUUACAUGGCUGAGUCCUUGGCACUCAUGUAUGGAAAUAACAAGAGUACCUACCUUACAGGGCUGUUGUGAGCAUCAAAGGAGGAGCUCCUACAGGAAGGUCAGGCCCUUGCCCAGGAUGCGAUCCCUUCAUUCUGUAGACGGAGGAUGGACAUGUCUACAAGACCCCUCUGUGGGCUGCGGCCACCAGCUGCAGUCCGUCUUCCCACCCCACGGCCGGCUCCUUGCCAGUGCACUGGUGCACUCACCUUACCCUGACUACACCUGACUUUUCUUCUAUUUUUUCUCUUUCUAUUUCCUCCUUUACUUAAAACAAAACAAAAUCUUGUUGCAUCAUAGGUAUUUCUGUAAGCUACCUUAGGUCUUUCUUGGAAUAAGCAGAGAAUAAAUAAAGAAAUGAGUUCCUGGAGUUCUUAUUUACCUUUCUCGAAGUUUUUACAGAUGUGGUUUCAAACACAUU